rnacentral:rRNA from 1 species
UGGGGAAUAUUGGACAAUGGGGGCAACCCUGAUCCAGCCAUGCCGCGUGUGUGAAGAAGGCUUUCGGGUUGUAAAGCACUUUCAGUGAGGAGGAAAACCUUAUGGCGAAUACCCAUGAGGCUUGACGUUACUCACAGAAGAAGCACCGGCUAACUCCGUG